AACUAUCGACGAAGAUGUUACAGUAGAGAGGGAGAAAGGUAGGGAGCGAGAAGAGGAUAAUCAAAAUGUUACAGUUCCCGGCGUUCAUGACGCAGUACCCGUGGUCAACAAAGACAAUCCCGACGUCGCAUUUGCUACCUUCACAAUGGCCUCAACCCCACAGCGAGGAGCUGCUCCUCGCCAUGGAGGAGUCCGAUUUCGAAGAGAAGAUGACUUGCUAUGUUGACAUUGCCGCGAUUGAUGAUUGUAGUGCAAUGAAAUAAGAAAGACUAAUAGCAACCUCCCAGUGAUUGGGAAAAUGACUGUCGAUAACGACAAAGAAGAUUACGAUAAUGAUGCGGAUGAUGAUGAUGCUGAUAAUGCAGAGGAGUCAGAAGGAGAAGAAUUUGAGCAAGAAACUGGUUGAAGAUGGUUCCUGACUUGCCGUUAUUCUAUUUAUUUUGUUUGGAAAGGUUACUUGUCGACAACACCUUGAGACUCAUCCCUGAAUAAAAAGUGAGGAUUUGGCUUUGGAUUUUGUAUGCACAUGACUUCUACUUUGUUGUGGAAAUUCAAUCCUUAUAUGCAUAACAAUUAGCAAACAAAAUUUUCAAGGUCCCUCUUUAUUUGGAAAGGAGAGGGAGGAAAAUAAUAGAGAAAUAACUAGGAAUUGUCAAUUUUCUUUUUAUAGCUGUUUUCCAUCCCUGUCUUUUGGAUAUGAUAGAGGAAAGAAAAUGAUCAAAUGGCUUUUUCUUUAA